AGAGUUUGAUCCUGGCUCAGAGCGAACGCAUGCGGCGUGUCUAAGGCAUGCAAGUCGAACGAUCCACUCCAAUUGGAUCCCUUCGGGGUGAAGAUUGGGUUCAGUGGAGAGUGGCGGACGGGUGAGUAACACGUGGGCAAUCUGUCCUUGGGAUUGGGAUAGCCCUAGGAAACUAGGUGUAAUACCGAAUACGAUCCUCUGGUCGCAUGGCCGGUGGAUGAAAGGUGGCCUCUGCUUGCAUGCUGCCGCCCGAGGGUGAGCUCGCGGUCCAUUAGUUUGUUGGCGGGGUAACGGCCCACCAAGACUGCGAUGGAUAGCCGACCUGAGAGGGUGACCGGCCACACUGGGACUGAGACACGGCCCAGACUCCUACGGGAGGCAGCAGCUAAGAAUCUUCCGCAAUGGGCGAAAGCCUGACGGAGCGUCGCCGCGUGGGUGAUGAAGGCCUUCGGGUUGUAAAACCCUUUUGUGUGGGGAUAAAGACGAGGGGUGAAUAGCCUCUUGUUCUGACGGUACCCCACGAAUAAGCCCCGACUAAUUACGUGCCAGCAGCCGCGGUAAUACGUAUGGGGCUAGCGUUGCUCGGAAUUACUGGGUGUAAAGGGCGCGUAGGCGGUCCAGCAAGUGAAGUGUCAAAACUCUCGGCUCAACCGGGUGCCGGCGCUUCAAACUGCUGGGCUUGAGUCUGGAAGGGGAGAACGGAAUUCCUGGUGUAGGGGUGAAAUCCGUAGAUAUCAGGAAGAACACCGGCGGCGAAGGCGGUUCUCUGGUCCAAGACUGACGCUGAGGUGCGAAAGCCAGGGUAGCGAACGGGAUUAGAUACCCCGGUAGUCCUGGCCGUAAAUGUUGUGUACUAGGUGUUGGAGGAGGUUUGUCUCUUCUAGUGCCGCAGCUAACGCAUUAAGUACACCACCUGGGGAGUAUGCCCGCAAGGGUGAAACUCAAAGGAAUUGACGGGGGCCCGCACAAGCGGUGGAGCAUGGGGUUCAAUUCGACCUACGCGAGGAACCUUACCAGGGUUUGACAUGUACCUGACUGCUGUAGAAAUACGGUUUUCCCUUCGGGGACGGGUAUGCAGGUGCUGCAUGGCUGUCGUCAGCUCGUGUUGUGAGAUGUUGGGUUAAGUCCCGCAACGAGCGCAACCCUCAUUUCUUGUUGCUACCAGGUUAAGCUGGGCACUCGAGAGAAACUGCCGGUGCCAAACCGGAGGAAGGUGGGGAUGACGUCAAGUCCUCAUGGCCCUUAUGCCCUGGGCUACACCCGUGCUACAAUGGCGUGUACAAAGGGAUCCGAUACCGCGAGGUGGAGGCAAUCCCAAAAAGCACGCCCCAGUUCGGAUAGAGGUCUGCAACUCGACUCCUUGAAGCUGGAAUCGCUAGUAAUCGCAGAUCAGAACGCUGCGGUGAAUACGUUCCCGGGCCUUGUACACACCGCCCGUCACACCACCUGAGUUGAAUGUACCCGAAGUCACUGGCCGAACCGGCUUGCCGGAAGGAGGUGCCGAAGGUACGUUCAGUAAGGGGGGUGAAGU
rnacentral:rRNA from 1 species